GCAUCAGUGGUCUAACGGUUAUGAUCCGGUCUUCCCACUUCAAAUAUGGCCGGGAAAGGGGUUCGACUCCCCUCUGAUGCA